CAGAGGAUGUACUUCCUGUGGCAGCUGAGGAAGCACAAUUUGCCACAGGCAAUGGUGGUCCAACUCUACACGGCCUUC